UUGUUUUCUGUAUAGUUUUAGCUACCUUACAGAACUGUUUGUGUCUCGCGGUGUUAUUUUUGUUCUAGUGUUCAGAUUUAAACAAACAUCAUGAACACGUACCUCGCUGCGCUUUGGGCCACUCCUUCAUCAGACGAGCGUUACAGUGCCUCGAGGAAAAUUAUUUUCUUGCAUCGAAUGCGAUCAGGCUGAACAAUUGAAUAGGUGCCGGGUCUCGGACCAGGCGUGGCCUGGCCCAAUUUAAUCCCUGGUCACAGGACACCAUCGCCCACUUACCCCAAGGUGGCUCAACUUACCCUGACCCUAUGCUCAACUUACCCCAUACCCGAGAUGCGUGGGUCUUCCAGGCUCUGUCAAAAAUUCCAAGGACAUUCCCUGGACUCCAAAGGAACGUUUUGCAUUGAGAAUAGGAGGAGAGAAUGUGGAGUGAACGUAUACUGUAUGGAAAGCAGCAGUCUAUUUACACUACAAAGACUUUAAACUCAACGCCUAUUCAGAGAGAGACGUGGCUACGCAAACAAAGAGGAAUCCUAACUUUGAACGAGACAUUCUUCCUGUUGGCCCCCGUCUUGUGGUUUUCUCACUGCAUAGAGGAAUAGCGAUGUUGGUCUAACACACUGAAGUAAUAUACUAGCCAUAUCCCUCCCAUGGGAAUGAAAUCCUCAGCUUUGAAAUCAUUUUUUAUUAAGACCAUAAUCCUAUUUUGACGGCUCUCUCGGACAAAAGCGUAAAAUGAUAGCGAACCAGGAAAUGAAAAAGUCUGCACACAGGUCCUGGUCUCAGGAAGGGGGCUAGAGUUUAGGAAUGCGACACCUGUUUUUAAUUAAGGAGAGGCAAAUGGAUACUUGUAAAAAAUAUAUAUUGAUUUGCAAUGCUCAUUUAAAUUGUCGCAAACUAAUCCAUAGCAAAACCUGUAACAUGUUAUUUUACAGCCCACAUUACUUUAAAUAAGAAACUAUGUGGUAACAAUAGAUACUUUCUGGUACUAAGAGCAAAUAAUUCAACACAAUUGAUAACUAGCUGGUACAAAUUCCUCAUAGUGACGUUUGUGUUAGAAUCUCAAAGAACUCAAAGUGAAAUUACCAUUUUAAUAUUAGUUCAUUUUAUUUUAACAAUUAAUUUUAAAGUGUUCAACCAGGUUGAUAGAACUGCCAGGGGAAAGAACCCUUUCCAGGAACUCUCUAUUGUUUCCAAAAAUCACCUUGAAUAGAGAACAUCGGGGUACAAGAUCAACACAGUGUAUUAUGGUGAAUUUCAUUUAACUCAUAAAAUGCCCUGCCAUGAUUAUCAGUAAACGGCAAGAUAAAUGGCAAACACCUGUGUCUUGUGCUGCCAAUGUGUGCUCUGGAUUGUUUGGGAAAGAAUGCAUUGGAGCCGUCAAGCUUUCAUCACACUGGGAGCGUGUGAUUGAUGGUCUUUGGCUGUCGAACCUGACAGAAGCACAUGAGCGGCUGUGUUUACCUGCAGCAACCUGCCGCUCUCAUCCCUCACGCAGCUUCUUAUGUCAGCUAUCAGUGCAACAAUCGCAAGUAGGCAACACGGCACUUUGAACAUGCAGCGUGCAACUAUGUGUCAGUGUGUUUAACUGUAUGUGUGUAGAGAGAGCAGAAGAGAGAAAUCGUAUGUGUAGGGACUGGGGAGGUUAUUAUUAUAUUAUUCGCUCUAAUUUUAUUCAAUAAACAAAGAGGUGAGUGUUAGAUUUCCAAUCUAACACUCACCUCUCCUAUAUUGUUAAAUUUGCAGACCAAACAAAAUCUGCCCACAUCGACAAUUGUGGCGAUAUGCCGUUCUCAGCCUUGAAACCAAAAGUCCGCUUAUGAUUACGUUGGAUCAUGUGUUUGCUGCCUCAAAACCAUAUUUUUUUUCCCAAGGAACAAAAAGUAUAGCUGUCUUGUUUUCUCUCCCACCCCUUAAAAUCAGCACUUCUAAAUGAUCCUUGGCAGGAGAUUAAACUCGCGGCAGCCUUGACAUAGCACUCUCCUGCCUCGCCAUUCCCAUGAGACGCUCCGCACAAAGUUAGUGUGGGGCCAGGGUCAGCCACUGACGUUGCCCCAUUGUUGAGUCUCUCGGUGCAGGGUGAGGACAGGGACAAUGGCAACUAGAGAAGACCGGCGUCGGUUGUCACACUUUAGUCUUGUGUGUAUUUCUCAGCACCAGCAUACCUUACGAGACUCUUUUCAAUAUUAGGAGAAACAUCAGGGUCUUUGAUUGCUUACAACUCCAUGUUGGAGUAAGAUAUGAGGAUUAAAAGGGUCCCCAUUUCAACCUAAUACACUCUGGUAAACUCUGUAAUAGGUGUGUAAACUCUGAUCGACUGCCACGGUGAAAAAAAGUAACGCUUCCUAUACUUUCAAAUAAAUUUUGGGUGCCACAAACUGUGUUUACCCUCCAAUUACACCACUGGAUUUAUUAUAAUGCAGUUGAUACUAACAACUUAUCCCCCCCCCCGAUUCAAGUCCUCUUGGUAAGCAACUCCAGUGUAUAACUGGCAUUGUGUUUUAGGUUAUUGUUGAAUUUGUCUCCCAGUGUCUGUUGGAAAGCAGACCAGGUUUUCCUCUAUAA